rnacentral:rRNA from 9 species
CAGUGAUAAACUGGAGGAAGGUGGGGAUGACGUCAAGUCAUCAUGGCCCUUACGACCAGGGCUACACACGUGCUACAAUGGCGCAUACAAAGAGAAGCGACCUCGCGAGAGCAAGCGGACCUCAUAAAGUGCGUCGUAGUCCGGAUUGGAGUCUGCAACUCGACUCCAUGAAGUCGGAAUCGCUAGUAAUCGUGGAUCAGAAUGCCACGGUGAAUACGUUCCCGGGCCUUGUACACACCGCCCGUCACACCAUGGGAGUGGGUUGCAAAAGAAGUAGGUAGCUUAACCUUCGGGAGGGCGCUUACCACUUUGUGAUUCAUGACUGGGGUGAAGUCGUAACAAGGUAACCGUAGGGGAACCUGCGGUUGGAUCAC